rnacentral:rRNA from 1 species
AGUGAACGCUGGCGGUAGGCCUAACACAUGCAAGUCGAACGGCAGCACAGUAAGAGCUUGCUCUUACGGGUGGCGAGUGGCGGACGGGUGAGGAAUACAUCGGAAUCUACUUUUUCGUGGGGGAUAACGUAGGGAAACUUACGCUAAUACCGCAUACGACCUACGGGUGAAAGCAGGGGAUCUUCGGACCUUGCGCGAUUGAAUGAGCCGAUGUCGGAUUAGCUAGUUGGCGGGGUAAAGGCCCACCAAGGCGACGAUCCGUAGCUGGUCUGAGAGGAUGAUCAGCCACACUGGAACUGAGACACGGACCAGACUCCUACGGGAGGCAGCAGUGGGGAAUAUUGGACAAUGGGCGCAAGCCUGAUCCAGCCAUACCGCGUGAGUGAAGAAGGCCUUCGGGUUGUAAAGCCCUUUUGUUGGGAAAGAAAAGCAGCAGGUUAAUACCCCGCUGUUCUGACGGUACCCAAAGAAUAAGCACCGGCUAACUUCGUG